rnacentral:rRNA from 1 species
GGCCCAGACUCCUACGGGAGGCAGCAGUGAGGAAUAUUGGUCAAUGGGCGGGAGCCUGAACCAGCCAAGUCGCGUGAGGGAAGACGGUCCUAUGGAUUGUAAACCUCUUUAGGCGGGGAGCAAUGCCGGGCACGCGUGCCCGGAGGGAGAGUACCCGCAGAAUAAGCAUCGGCUAACUCCGUGCCAGCAGCCGCGGUAAUACGGAGGAUGCGAGCGUUAUCCGGAUUUAUUGGGUUUAAAGGGUGCGUAGGGGUACUGUUACGUCAGAGGAAAAAGCCGGGGGCUCACCCCGGGCGAGCCGUUGAAACUGGCUGUCUUGAGAUGUCGAGAGGUAUGCGGAAUGCGCAGUGUAGCGGUGAAAUGCUUAGAUAUUGCGCAGAACUCCGAUUGCGAAGGCAGCAUACCGGCGGCGAUCUGACGCUGAGGCACGAAAGCGUGGGUAUCGAACAGGAUUAGAUACCCGUGUA